GACGAACGCUGGCGGCGUGCUUAACACAUGCAAGUCGAACGGAAAGGCCCUGCUUUUGUGGGGUGCUCGAGUGGCGAACGGGUGAGUAACACGUGAGUAACCUGCCCUUGACUUUGGGAUAACUUCAGGAAACUGGGGCUAAUACCGGAUAGGAGCUCCUGCUGCAUGGUGGGGGUUGGAAAGUUUCGGCGGGUGGGGCUGGACUCGCGGCUGAUCAGCGUGUUGGUGGGGGAGUGGCUUACCAAGGCUUUGACGGGUAUCCGGCCUGAGAGGGUGACCGGCGACAUGGGGACUGAGAUACGGCCCAGACUCCUACGGGGGGCAGCAGUGGGGAAUAUUGCACAAUGGGCGGAAGCCUGAUGCAGCAACGCCGCGUGCGGGAUGACGGCCUUCGGGUUGUAAACCGCUUUCGCCUGUGACGAAGCGUGAGUGACGGUAAUGGGUAAAGAAGCACCGGCUAACUACGUG
rnacentral:rRNA from 1 species